AGAGUUUGAUCCUGGCUCAGAACGAACGCUGGCGGCGUGCCUAACACAUGCAAGUCGAACGUGAUUGGAAGCUUGCUUCCAUGAAAGUGGCGCACGGGUGAGUAACGCGUAGAUAAUCUGCCUGGUGAUCCGGGAUAACACUUCGAAAGGGGUGCUAAUACCUGAUAAGCCCACGGGGUCUUUGGAUUCUGCGGGAAAAGGGGGGGACCUUCGGGCCUUCUGUCACCAGAUGAGUCUGCGUACCAUUAGCUAGUUGGUAGGGUAAAGGCCUACCAAGGCGACGAUGGUUAGCUGGUCUGAGAGGAUGAUCAGCCACACUGGAACUGAGACACGGUCCAGACUCCUACGGGAGGCAGCAGUGGGGAAUUUUGCGCAAUGGGGGAAACCCUGACGCAGCAACGCCGCGUGAGUGAUGAAGGCCCUUGGGUCGUAAAGCUCUGACAGAGGGAAAGAAAUGUGGGUGGCCAAUAUCCAUACCACUUGACGGUACCCUCAAAGGAAGCACCGGCUAACUCCGUGCCAGCAGCCGCGGUAAUACGGGGGGUGCAAGCGUUGUUCGGAUUUAUUGGGCGUAAAGCGCGUGUAGGCGGUUUUGUAAGUCUGAUGUGAAAGCCCCGGGCUCAACCUGGGAAGUGCAUUGGAUACUGUGAGACUUGAAUACGGGAGAGGGCAGUGGAAUUCCUGGUGUAGGAGUGAAAUCCGUAGAUAUCAGGAGGAACACCGGUGGCGAAGGCGGCUGCCUGGACCGAUAUUGACGCUGAGACGCGAAAGCGUGGGUAGCAAACAGGAUUAGAUACCCU
rnacentral:rRNA from 1 species